UACAGAGGGUGCAAGCGUUAAUCGGAAUUACUGGGCGUAAAGCGCGCGCAGGCGGCCUUUCAAGUCAGGGGUGAAAGCCCGGAGCUCAACUCCGGAAUUGCCUUUGAAACUGUCAGGCUCGAGUACGGGAGAGGUGAGUGGAAUUCCCAGUGUAGAGGUGAAAUUCGUAGAUAUUGGGAAGAACACCGGUGGCGAAGGCGGCUAUCUGGACCGACAUUGACGCUGAGGCGCGAAAGCGUGGGGAGCAAACAGG
rnacentral:rRNA from 1 species